ensembl:lncRNA
GAGAACUGUGCAGUGGUUAAUAACGGACUGUUCUACGAUGAACAAUGCACCAACCUGCACUAUUUCUUCUGUCACACCAUUUACCCAGCGAGGGGUCAGAUAAUCAGACUGCAGGUGAAGUCUGAUGGGAGUGUGUUUGAUCCUGCUGUGCAGUCGUCCAUUUUAGAUCAGAUCAAACAGAAACUGGAGGAAAAAGGCAUGUUGGAGAACACCACAGUGACCUGGAAGGUGCAGCCAGAUGGAAACAUCUUCCACAAGAAAAAGGAUGAUCUGUAACGUCUAAACGCUCACCUUCAAGUCGAGCAGAUUUCAAACUGACUGAAAUUUUAUUUAACCUACAACAUUUAAGCUUUAAUCAGUAGGCAGUGUCAGAGGACAAGAUUAGCCAGAAGUAGAGGAAUAAACGUAUUUAAUUGCUCUGAUUGGAACACGCCCACUUUGACUUUGCAACUGAAAUUUUAAAGUCAGAUUUCACUGCAACUUUUUAAUAUUGAACAUGUUCAGCUUUUGCUGCAAGAGGCCACUGAACACAGUGAUAAGGAGAAAGUCAGAGAGGGUAUGUUCAAUACUGGGUUUAAUGCAUCAGUGUGUUGUAGUAAAGAAUAAUUCUUAUAUAGAAUAUAGUGAAUGUAACAGAACCUGUAAAUACACUGUGUGUACUCUGAACAGUCAUAUAUAAUGCAC